CCCCUCUGACAAAGCAGGCUCCCUACACCAUGUUGCACAGAGCUUCAGAGAUGAGAUUAGAACUUGCAGAUUCCUGGCACCAUGUAUAUGCUGAGUCCACAGACAAUUUAACCUCUACAUCAUUUAUUGUGCUAAUGCAUGGAACCUGACAAAGCAUGUCUGAAGAAGGAUUUCCCCAAGUUGAAAAGCUGCCUUGGAAAACUGUGUACAGCUGGAGAAAGAACAC